rnacentral:rRNA from 1 species
UUACCUGGUUUGAUCCUGCCAGUAGUCAUAUGCUUGUCUCAAAGAUUAAGCCAUGCAUGUCUAAGUACAAGCCGCGUACGCGGCGAGACUGCGGACGGCUCAUUAAAUCGGUUAUGACUCCACUGGGGCCAGACUCACCCGUGGAUAACGUGCGGUAACUCCGGUGCUAAUACAUGCAACAAGGCUCCGACCCCGUCUUCGGGCGGGGGAAGGGCGCACUUAUUAGGCUAAAACCAAUCGCUCGCUUUCGGGCGGGCGUUGGUGGACGACACCCGAGUAAUUGCCGCCGAUCGCACGGCCUUCGAGCCGGCGACGCCUACACUGAGUUUCUGAUCUAUCAUGCUGACGACGGUUGGUGCUAUGCCAACCGUGGCGUUAACGGAUAACAGAGAAUCUGGGUUCGAUUCUGGAGAGGCCGCAUGAGAAACGGCGACCACUUCCAAGGAAGGCAGCAGGCACGCAAAUUACCCACUUCGGACACCGAGAGGUAGUGACGAACAAUACCGAUGCGGCGCACUUACGUGUCGCCGUAAUCGGAAUGAGUACACUUCAAAUCCUUUAACGAGGAUCCACUGGAGGGCAAGCCUGGUGCCAGCAGCCGCGUAUGGUUGCCAAAGCUGAAACUUAAAGGAAUUGACGGAAGGGCACCACCAGGAGUGGAGCCUGCGGCUUAAUUUGACUCAACACGGGAAACCUCACCCGGCCCGAACACUGUUAUGACAGACAGGUUGAGAGCUCUUUCUCGAUUCAGUGGUUGGUGGUGCAUGGCCGUNCUUAGUUCGUGGAGCGAUCUGUCUGGUUAAUUCCGAUAACGAACGAGACUCUUGCCUGCUAAAUAGACGGCGCCGACUCAGCGCGGCGACCGUUCGCUUCUUAGAGGGACAAGCGGCUUUUAGCCGCGUGAAGCUGAGAGCAAUAACAGGUCAGUGAUGCCCUCAGAUGUUCGGGGCCGCACGCGCGCUACACUGUUUGCAUCAGCGUGUUUCUCCCGUGCCGGCUGGCACGGGCAACCCGUUGAAACGCAAACGUGCUAGGGAUCGGAGAUUGCAAUUGUUCUCCGUGAACGAGGAAUUCCUUGUACUUGCGAGUCAUCAGCUCGCGGGGAAUCUGUCCCUGCCCUUUGUACACAYCGCCCGUCGCUACUACCGAUUGAGUGGUUUAAGUGAGGCUCACGGAGCUGCGAGCGGCACUCGGCGCUUUCGGGCGUCGCGCCGCGAGCGGAAAGUGAGACGAACUUGAUCACUUCUAGGAAGUAAAAGUCGUAACAAGGUUUUCGUAGGUGAACCUGGNAAAAGGA